AUUGAACGCUGGCGGCAGGCCUAACACAUGCAAGUCGAGCGGCUGAACAGUACUUGCUCCUGCAUUCAGCUGCCGAGUGGCGGGUGAGGGCUAAGUAUAUCCGUGUUUGUGGUGUAUAAGGUGCGGAAGCAGGCACUCAUACGGCAAACGUGCUGACGGAGUACGGGUGAAAUCUUCGGACCUCACGCUAUCGGGUGAUCCUAUGUCGGAUUAGCUAGUUGGUGGGGUAAAGGCCUACCAAGGCGACGAUCCGUAACUGGUCUGAGAGGAUGAUCAGCCACACUGGAACUGAGACACGGUCCAGACUCCUACGGGAGGCAGCAGUGGGGAAUAUUGGACAAAGGGCGAAAGCCUGAUCCAGCCAUGCCGCGUGGGUGAAGAAGGUCUUCGGAUUGUAAAGCACUUUUAUUUGGGAAGAAGGGCAGUAAGUUAAUACCUCGCUGUUCUGACGUUACCAACAGAAUAAGCACCGGCUAACUUCGUG
rnacentral:rRNA from 1 species